rnacentral:rRNA from 1 species
AUAAGAUAUCAAGGGCAACAGGUGAAUGCCUUGGCGCUGAGAGGCGAUGAAAGACGCGGUAAGCUGCGAUAAGCAUCGGGGAGGAGCUAAACAUCCUACGAUCCGAUGAUUUCUGAAUGGGGAAACCCGAUGGGAGUCAUGUCCCAUCAUCCUGAGCUGAAUAUAUAGGCCCAGAGAAGCCAACCCGGGGAAGUGAAACAUCUCAGUACCCGGAGGAAGAGAAAUCAAACGAGACUCCCAAAGUAGCGGCGAGCGAAAUGGGAAGAGCCCAAACCGAGUGGUUUCGACCAUUCGGGGUUGUAGGGCCGGCAUACGUGAUUCUGGAGUAGGCAGAGGAAGUGAGCUGGAAAGCUCCGCCACAGCGGGUGAUAGCCCCGUACUCGAAACCGAAAAGGACGCAGCCGGUACCUGAGUACUGCGAGGCACGUGGAACCUCGUGGGAAUCUAGGGGGACCAUCCUCUAAGGCUAAGUACUCCUCAGCGACCGAUAGUGAACUAGUACCGUGAGGGAAAGGUGAAAAGAACCCCUGUUAGGGGAGUGAAAUAGAAUCUGAAACCUGUUGCCUACAAGCUGCGAGAGCUACUUCGGUAGUGAUCGCGUGCCUUUUGUAUAAUGAGUCAGCGAGUUACUCUACCGUGCGAGGUUAAGCGAAAGCGUAGCCGUAGUGAAAGCGAGGCUUAAUAGGCCGACUAGUACGUUGGAGUAGACCCGAAACCGGGUGAUCUAUCCAUGAGCAGGUUGAAGCAAGGGUAAAGCCUUGUGGAGGACCGAACCGUCAACGGCUGAAAACGUUCCGGAUGACUUGUGGAUAGGGGUGAAAGGUCAAUCAAACCCGGUGAUAGCUGGUUCUCCCCGAAAUAUAUUGAGGUAUAGCCUCGGGAAUUGAUUAGCGGAGGUAAAGCACUGACAGAGCUAGGGGUCCUACCAGAUUACCAAACUCUAUCAAACUCAGAAUGCCGCUUAAUUGUAUCCCGGGAGUCAGACGGCGGGUGCGAAGGUUCGUCGUCAAAAGGGAAACAGCCCAGACCAACAGCUAAGGUCUCCAAAUCCAUGCUCAGUGGUGAAGGUAGUGGAACCGUUUAGACAGCCAGGACGUUGGCUUAGAAGCAGCCAUCGUUUAAAGAAAGCGUAAUAGCUCACUGGUCUAAUGGCUCUGCGCCGAAAAUGUAACGGGGCUAAGCAUGGUACCGAAGCUUUGGCAAUCCCCUUUGGGGAUUGGGUAGGGGAGCGUUCGCUGCGGGCUGAAGGUGUAUCGGAAGGUAUGCUGGACUGCAGUGAAGUGAUUAUGCUGACAUGAGUAACGAUAAAAUAUGUGAAAAACAUAUUCGCCGAAAACCCGAGGUUUCCUGGGUAAAGGUAAUCUUCCCAGGGUUAGUCGGAUCCUAAGGUGAGGGUGAAAGCCGUAACCGAUGGAAAACAGGUUAAUAUUCCUGUACUUGUUGUGUAGCGCGAUGGAGGGACGCAGGAAGAUAGGCGGGCCGGGUGUUGGAUAUCCCGGUGCAAGCGUGUAGGAAUAUCCGGUAGGCAAAUCCGCCGGACGAAUCUGAGACGCGAGUCCGUGGGCGCAAGCCCUGAAGCCGUUGAGUCUAUGCUGCCUAGAAAAGCUCCUAAGUUUAUCCACAGCAAUCCGUACCGCAAACCAACUCAGGUGGGUGGGAUGAACAAUCCAAGGCGCUCGAGAGAACUCUGGCCAAGGAACUCGGCAAAAUAACCCCGUAACUUCGGAAGAAGGGGUGCUCUCUAGGGUGACAUGUUUAACAUAUGAAGCCCCGGGGAGCCGCAGUGAAUUGGUGGUGGCGACUGUUUACUAAAAACAUAGGUCUGUGCGAAGUCCUAAAGACGACGUAUACGGACUGACGCCUGCCCGGUGCUGGAAGGUUAAAAGGAGGGGUCAGCGCAAGCAAAGCUCCGAAUUGAAGCCCCAGUAAACGGCGGCCGUAACUAUAACGGUCCUAAGGUAGCGAAAUUCCUUGUCGGGUAAGUUCCGACCUG